UUGGUAUGUACUGGCCUUACUGAUUCCUCCUUCUUGAAGAACUGUGAUGUCAUUUAUUUGGUGUUGCAGGGAAACAGGACUGUUACUUUGAAAAAAUUAGAGUGUUUAAAGCAGGCUAACGCUUGAAUACAUUAGCAUGGAAUAAUGAAAUAGGACGUUUGAUCCUAUUUUGUUGGUUUCUAGGAUUGACGUAAUGAUUAAUAGGGAUAGUUGGGGGCAUUAGUAUUCAAUUGUCAGAGGUGAAAUUCUUGGAUUUAUUGAAGACUAACUACUGCGAAAGCAUUUGCCAAGGAUGUUUUCAUUAAUCAAGAACGAAAGUUAGGGGAUCGAAGACGAUCAGAUACCGUCGUAGUCUUAACCAUAAACUAUGCCGACGAGGGGAUGGAAUGAUUUUUUUUUUUAUAGGG
rnacentral:rRNA from 1 species